rnacentral:rRNA from 1 species
AUUGAACGCUGGCGGCAUGCCUUACACAUGCAAGUCGAACGGCAGCACGGGAGCAAUCCUGGUGGCGAGUGGCGAACGGGUGAGUAAUGUAUCGGAACGUGCCCAGUCGUGGGGGAUAACGUAGCGAAAGUUACGCUAAUACCGCAUACGAUCUAUGGAUGAAAGCAGGGGAUCGCAAGACCUUGCGCGAUUGGAGCGGCCGAUAUCAGGUUAGGUAGUUGGUGGGGUAAAAGCUUACCAAGCCUACGAUCUGUAGCUGGUCUGAGAGGACGACCAGCCACACUGGGACUGAGACACGGCCCAGACUCCUACGGGAGGCAGCAGUGGGGAAUUUUGGACAAUGGGCGAAAGCCUGAUCCAGCCAUGCCGCGUGCAGGAUGAAGGCCUUCGGGUUGUAAACUGCUUUUGUACGGAACGAAACGGCCUUUUCUAAUACAGGAGGCUAAUGACGGUACCGUAAGAAUAAGCACCGGCUAACUACGUGCCAGCCGCCGCGGUAA